rnacentral:rRNA from 1 species
AGUGAACGCUGGCGGUAGGCCUAACACAUGCAAGUCGAACGGCAGCACAGUAAGAGCUUGCCCUUACGGGUGGCGAGUGGCGGACGGGUGAGGAAUACAUCGGAAUCUACUUUUUCGUGGGGGAUAACGUAGGGAAACUUACGCUAGUACCGCAUACGACCUACGGGUGAAAGCAGGGGAUCUUCGGACCUUGCGCGAUUGAAUGAGCCGAUGUCGGAUUAGCUAGUUGGCGGGGUAAAGGCCCACCAAGGCGACGAUCCGUAGCUGGUCUGAGAGGAUGAUCAGCCACACUGGAACUGAGACACGGUCCAGACUCCUACGGGAGGCAGCAGUGGGGAAUAUUGGACAAUGGGCGCAAGCCUGAUCCAGCCAUACCGCGUGGGUGAAGAAGGCCUUCGGGUUGUAAAGCCCUUUUGUUGGGAAAGAAAAGCAGCAGGUUAAUACCCCGCUGUUCUGACGGUACCCAAAGAAUAAGCACCGGCUAACUUCGU